GACUAUUUCCUGUCGUGUUUUGUAAGAAAGCAGUGAUAACAAAGAAAACAAAAGAGAAAAUCGCAUCAUCUAAAGAGAAAGAAACAUUGGCAGUGAAAUAAUUUUUAUGAAGAUUUGCUACACUGGAUAAGAAUUAAACAAAAGACGGAUUCAGAAAAAGUGCCAAAUGAAAGUGUAGCAGAAAACAAAAGGAACACUCUUGUGAAUACAACCCAUGUUAGAUUACAAAACUAUGAAAUAGCUGUAUGAAUCUAAUAAAGUGAAAUUACAGAACUAGGAAGUAAGUGUAUGAACCUAAUGAAGUGAAAUUACAGAACUAGGAAAUAAUUGUAUGAACCGAAUGAAGUGAAAUUACAGAACUAGGAAAUAACUGUAUGAACCUAAUGAAGUGAAAUUACAGAACUAGGAAAUCACUGUAUGAACCUGAUGAAGUGAAAUUACAGAACUAGGAUAUAACUAUAUGAACCUAAUGAAGUGAAAUUACAGAACUAGGAAAUAAUUGUAUGAACCUAAUGAAGUGAAUUACAAAACUAGGAAAUAACUAUAUGAACCGAAUGAAGUGAAAUUACAGAACUAGGAAAUAAUUGUAUGAACCUGAUGAAGUGAAUAACCGAACUAGGAAGUAAUUGUAUGAACCUGAUGUCAGAAGUGAAUUACAGAACUAGGAAAUAACUGUAUGAACCUGAUGAAGUGAAUUACAUUUAUAGGAAUGAAACAUCAUGAAUAUACUUUAUAAUUUUCAUUCUAGAUCUGAUGUUGCAACGUGUAGUUACAUAAAAUUAAACUUUUAAGAAUUUGCUCCUUGUCUAGCUAAAAUAAAUUAUGUAUUGGUAUUCAUA